AGUGAACGCUGGCGGUAGGCCUAACACAUGCAAGUCGAACGGCAGCACAGUAAGAGCUUGCUCUUACGGGUGGCGAGUGGCGGACGGGUGAGGAAUACAUCGGAAUCUACUUUUUCGUGGGGGAUAACGUAGGGAAACUGACGCUAAUACCGCAUACGACCUACGGGUGAAAGCAGGGGAUCUUCGGACCUUGCGCGAUUGAAUGAGCCGAUGUCGGAUUAGCUAGUUGGCGGGGUAAAGGCCCACCAAGGCGACGAUCCGUAGCUGGUCUGAGAGGAUGAUCAGCCACACUGGAACUGAGACACGGUCCAGACUCCUACGGGAGGCAGCAGUGGGGAAUAUUGGACAAUGGGCGCAAGCCUGAUCCAGCCAUACCGCGUGGGUGAAGAAGUCCUUCGGGUUGUAAAGCCCUUUUGUUGGGAAAGAAAAGCAGCAGGUUAAUACCCCGCUGUUCUGACGGUACCCAAAGAAUAAGCACCGGCUAACUUCGUG
rnacentral:rRNA from 1 species